rnacentral:rRNA from 1 species
GAAAGGAAGAUUAAUACAAGAUGGCAUCAUGAGUCCACAUGUUCACAUGAUUAAAGGUAUUCCGGUAGACGAUGGGGAUGCGUUCCAUUAGAUAGUAGGCGGGGUAACGGCCCACCUAGUCUUCGAUGGAUAGGGGUUCUGAGAGGAAGGUCCCCCACAUUGGAACUGAGACACGGUCCAAACUCCUACGGGAGGCAGCAGUGAGGAAUAUUGGUCAAUGGGCGAGAGCCUGAACCAGCCAAGUAGCGUGAAGGAUGACUGCCUUAUGGGUUGUAAACUUCUUUUAUAAAGGAAUAAAGUCGGGUAUGGAUACCCGUUUGCAUGUACUUUAUGAAUAAGGAUCGGCUAACUCCGUGCCAGCAGCCGCGGUAAUACGGAGGAUCCGAGCGUUAUCCGGAUUUAUUGGGUUUAAAGGGAGCGUAGAUGGAUGUUUAAGUCAGUUGUGAAAGUUUGCGGCUCAACCGUAAAAUUGCAGUUGAUACUGGAUAUCUUGAGUGCAGUUGAGGCAGGCGGAAUUCGUGGUGUAGCGGUGAAAUGCUUAGAUAUCACGAAGAACUCCGAUUGCGAAGGCAGCCUGCUAAGCUGCAACUGACAUUGAGGCUCGAAAGUGUGGGUAUCAAACAGGAUUAGAUACCCUGGUAGUCCACACGGUAAACGAUGAAUACUCGCUGUUUGCGAUAUACGGCAAGCGGCCAAGCGAAAGCGUUAAGUAUUCCACCUGGGGAGUA